rnacentral:rRNA from 1 species
GGCCGGACUUGGUCGUCGCGCCUCUGCUGGGGGACUCGUUGCUUCGGCGGCGAGGUAACCUACGUUACUGUGAAGAAAUUAGAGUGUUUAAAGCAGGCGAUCGCUUGAAUACAUCAGCAUGGAAUAACAAGAUAUGACAUAUGUCUUCUUGUUGGUUUGGGGACAAAUGUAAUGAUUAAUAGGGCCAGUUGGGGGCAUUAGUAUUCAGUAGUCAGAGGUGAAAUUCUUGGAUUUACUGAAGACUAACUAAUGCGAAAGCAUUUGCCAAAGAUGUUUUCAUUAAUCAAGAACGAAAGUUAGGGGAUCGAAGACGAUCAGAUACCGUCGUAGUCUUAACUAUAAACGAUGCCGACUAAGGAUCGGCAGAAGUCGUUAGCGACUCUGUCGGCACUUUGUGAGAAAUCAAAGUUUUUGGGUUCUGGGGGGAGUAUGGUCGCAAGGCUGAAACUUAAAGGAAUUGACGGAAGGGCACCACCAGGAGUGGAGCCUGCGGCUUAAUUUGACUCAACACGGGAAAACUCACCAGGUCCGGACAUAGUAAGGAUUGACAGAUUGAGAGCUCUUUCUUGAUUCUGUGGGUGGUGGUGCAUGGGCCGUUCUUAGUUGGUGGAGCGAUUUGUCUGGUUAAUUCCGAUAACGAACGAGACCUUAACCUGCUAACUAGUUGCAGGUACUUUUGUAUCUGACACUUCUUAGAGGGACUGACUA